UACGAAGGGGGCUAGCGUUGCUCGGAAUUACUGGGCGUAAAGCGCACGUAGGCGGAUAUUUAAGUCGGUGGUGAAAUCCUGGAGCUCAACUCCAGAACUGCCUCCGAUACUGAAUGUCUUCGAGUCCGGGAGAGGUGAGUGAAACUGCGAGUGUAGAGGUGAAAUUCGUAGAUAUUCGCAAGAACACCAGCGGCGAAGGCGGCCUUCUGGACGGUGACUGACGCUGAGACGCGAAAGCGUGGGAGCAAACAGG
rnacentral:rRNA from 1 species